UAACCUGAGCUGGGGUGGAGUUGAGUGAAGUAGCAUUAAAGGAUUGGAGGAGCCUGAGACAUCACUAGGAGGGGCUUGUGACAUCACUGGUUACUUAGAGGUAGCAAGUGUCAGGUCAAGUUACUCUUUUGGCAGAAGAGAGACAUAAUGGGAGGAAGGCUGUCCCUUGGCCACUGACCCAUUUGAAUACUGGCAGCAUUGACACUCAGCCAUCAUCCCAAUGUCUUGAUCUCUUGAGAAGCAUGCACUUCAGAAGUGGAUUUGACUUUAAAAAGCAUCAACCUAGAACCUUGAUUUCUCCUGUUAUGGGUACUAUCUAAGGCAAAGAAAGGACACUCUCACAUCAGAUGGCAAUGCCCUUGUCUCUUGUCUCCUGCCUCCAUCUCUGGGGCACAGGUGUGCCUGUGAUCCUGUGCCUAUACGAAGAUAUUGGUUUAGUCUUUCUCCAGGAAGCAGCAAUUUUUAAGAUCUCCUUUUAAGACCAAUGAAAACAUGAAGGCCGGUAUAUGAC